rnacentral:rRNA from 1 species
UUGGAGGGCAAGUCUGGUGCCAGCAGCCGCGGUAAUUCCAGCUCCGAUAGCGUAUAUUAAAGUUGUUGCAGUUAAAAAGCUCGUAGUUGAAUUUCGGGAUCAAAUAAUCGGUCGUGCCUCCGGUACGUACUGGUUUUUAUUGGUUCCUCCCUUCUGACGAACCAUGAUGUCAUUAAUUUGAUGUGGUGGAGAAUCAGGACUGUUACCUUGAAAAAUUAGAGUGUUUAAAGCAGGCUAACGCUUGAAUACAUUAGCAUGGAAUAACGAAAUAGGACGUUUGAUUCUAUUUUGUUGGUUUCUAGGAUCGACGUAAUGAUUAAUAGGGAUAGUUGGGGGCAUUAGUAUUCAAUUGUCAGAGGUGAAAUUCUUGGAUUUAUUGAAGACUAACUACUGCGAAAGCAUUUGCCAAGGAUGUUUUCAUUAAUCAAGAACGAAAGUUAGGGGAUCGAAGACGAUCAGAUACCGUCGUAGUCUUAACCAUAAACUAUGCCGACUAGGGAUCGGAUGAUGUUAAUUUUUAA